rnacentral:rRNA from 1 species
UAAUUUGAAGGUGGGGUUGAAUAGGUCUAGAUACUUUAAGUCCAUUGGAAAAUGGCGCCAUGGAGGUGAAAGCCCCGGUAAAAGUAUUCAAACCUUCUUUUCCUCCCCUCUCUAUAGAGUCUGAAUUGUUGGGAAUGCAGCUCUAAGUGGGUGGUAAAUUCCAUCUAAAGCUAAAUAUUGGCGAGAGACCGAUAGCGAACAAGUACAGUGAUGGAAAGAUGAAAAGCACUUUGAAAAGAGAGUGAAAAAGUACGUGAAAUUGUUGAAAGGGAAGGGCUUGCAAGCAGACACAACCUCGGUUGGGCCAGCAUCGGAAUGGGGGGAGACAAAAAAGGUUAGGAAUGUAGCUCACUUUAAAUUUUAAUUUCCGGGCCCUUUUU